AUGUUAAUUGCACACAGAGUAAGAUUAUCUUGUUUUUCAGAAGAGAAGGAAGACCAAGGAAAUGAUUUGCUCAUGAGGAAUGAAGACGGCCAUCUUGAGCCCAAACAAAGACAGAAGUCCUCUGAUGAUCUUAUCAGCCAAAUGGGGGGUUUUGACCAAGUGAUGCUCUUGAAAGGACUGAAAGAAGAGGAUGUGCUAAAUUCUCUUCAGAGAAAAAGCUUCUCAAAAGGUCUUAAAACAGCUUGAAGAAUGGUCUGGGAUCUUAGGACUGAGAGAUCCUCUGGCUGAGAAAAGGCUACACCACAUCAGUGCUGGAUAUCAGCCACAAACUGUUUCCAGACACGAGAGAAGAAGAACACGAUGGGGAGAUGAAACCAGUUUAGAUGUGAUGAUGGGAAUCAUUAUUUUCUGGAACAGUAUCUCAUGUCUUAUAUGUAUCACAUGAUCUGUAUCACAGUUGACUGGAUGGGACUGUGUGACUUUUAAGGACAUUUCAUCACUCAUCUGUGUGAACUGAUUAAUUUAUGAUAUUAAUGAAUUUUUGAUCCAUUAUUAUUUUCCUUGAAUUGUGUUUGUCUUGAAGCUACUUUAUCAACUUCAUAGUCUAUGCUUCAAUAAAAUUAAUAUGGUGAAUAUUGUGUGUUGAAAAUUCUUGGUAAAUUCAUAAUUUUACUAGAUACUGUAGGCUACUAUGGGUUUAUUCUACACUUGAAAAACUACAUAUUAAUUACCAGGAUUAUUUUUUGCUUAAACAUUAAUGACAUCUGGAACAACAAUACACCAGAAAGUUAUUAUUGUAUAUAUUUAAUCACAAAUAUGCCUAUAUAUAUCUAUAUAAAUGGAUUCACUAGUUGAAUUAUUUUGAAAAGCCAUUUACUUUAUAGUUACAAACACUUGAGGGAUAACUGAGAAUGUAGCAGGAAUGAUCAACAUGGAUCUUGUACUGCAUUAAAACCAAGAGCACGCACAUUACUGAUGUUCAGCAUCUGAGGAGCAAGAUACGGUGAGGGUGAGGAGGACAUUUUUACACUGAUUGUUGCUAAUUAGUUAAUAUAUAUAGUAUUCUGAGUACUCCAUGAAUUAUUCCUUGUGGAAUAGUGAAGUAUCACAAUGUGUAUACAUUGUCCUUGAUUACUGCUUAACAGUGGGGAAUAGAUAAAGGCAAGUUGUUGCAGGUUUAUCCAUUAUAUUUAUUACUGUUAACUUCAAAAAUAAAAUAAAUAAUCUAUAAUUUUUAUUAUUAAAUCAUUUCUUUCUAAUUUUGCCAUGUUUCAUCAGAUGGCCUCACCAUGUCCUGUCAAAAGCUUUACUGCUCAUGACAUAAGAAUAAGAAAAGGUUAGUCUGUGAAAACUGUCAGAUAUAAAUGUGACUCAGCUCAGUUUGUUGUCCAUGAUGAGGAGAAUACAUAUAUGUAGGUUUUACUGCCCUUCUACCCCCAGGGGCCCAGUAGCACACCCCGGAAGAGCCAAAAACUGUACAUUUGAAAUGGCUGUAAAUCAGAGUCCAAUUAAUGAAUCAAAGAGAAAACCAGAAGGAUUUUUACUUAUGCUAUGCUGAUAAAAUAAUGUCGGGCACAGUUUUCAGAAAUAAAUGGAAAUGUUUCAUAAAGCCAUUUUAAAUAUUGCUCACUCUAAAAUACCAAAUUUCACUCUGUCUUUCAAUUAUAUCAUAGAGGUUUACACAAUGAAACUAUUCAUAUAUCCAGUUUUCCAUUAAAUAUAUUAUUUCAUUUCGUCAAUAAAACGAUUUAAACUACAUUACCCAC
ensembl:lncRNA